rnacentral:rRNA from 1 species
AGGGUCAGCAGGCAGAUCCCANUUUUCUUUCACCGAAUACAUUAGCAUGGGAUAAUGGAAUANGACCCUGUCCUCCUAUUUUCAGUUGGUUUUGGCAGCGCGAGGACUAGGGUAAUGAUUAAUAGGGAUAGUUGGGGGCAUUAAUAUUUAAUUGUCAGAGGUGAAAUUCUUGGAUUUAUGAAAGAUUAACUUCUGCGAAAGCAUCUGCCAAGGAUGUUUUCAUUAAUCAAGAACGAAAGUUAGGGGAUCGAAGACGAUCAGAUACCGUCGUAGUCUUAACCAUAAACGAUGCCGACCAGCGAUUAGGAGACGUUGAAUACAAAACACCACCAUCGGCGCGGUCGUCCUUGGCGUGUCUCGGCUUCACGGCUGGGGCGCGCGAGGGCGGUUUAGCCCGGUGGCACCGGUGAAUGACUCCCCU